CAAUGCAUCCAAACGGGCACUUAGAAAUCCAAUAGGAUUCCUAUCCAAAAGGCUCUUGAUUAUCUCUUUGAAUUUUCUCUUGGUUUUAAUGUGCCCUAGGACCUUGGUCAGCAUAGCUUCCUCGUAAAUAUGAUUAUGAUUCACAGAUGCCAUUUCUAUAGUUUGCAUAACCACUUAUCCUUUGCCCUUUCUUUAUUUUGGAGUAUCUACUCAAAGUGGCCACUGAUGAGAUGCUAAUGUCAAGCAGCCUAUGAGCUUUCAAAGAAAGAAGGCAAAGUGGGGACACCUGAACGACCACUUUCUGACCUUGGACUUUUGAGCUACAGAGGGUAUUGGACAAGGGUUCUUCUAGACAUCCUGAAGAAAUACAAAAGCAACAUCUCCAUCAAGGGGUGAUAUGCCCCUGGCUCUGUGGGCCGCUGAAGUCGGAAACAGUUGGAGGACUACCUUUGACAUUGCUGAUGACUGGCAUAGCAUGAUCGCGAGAGCUGAUGCAAAUGAAGUGUAUGCCUAUCUUGCUAGGCCUGGUGGCUGGAAUGAUCCAGACAUGCUGGAAAUAGUAAAUGGAGGGAUGA